rnacentral:rRNA from 1 species
AUACGUAGGUGGCAAGCGUUAUCCGGAAUUAUUGGGCGUAAAGAGGGAGCAGGCGGCAGCAAGGGUCUGUGGUGAAAGCCUGAAGCUUAACUUCAGUAAGCCAUAGAAACCAGGCAGCUAGAGUGCAGGAGAGGAUCGUGGAAUUCCAUGUGUAGCGGUGAAAUGCGUAGAUUUAUGGAGGAACACCAGUGGCGAAGGCGACGAUCGGGCAUGCAACUGACGCUCAGCCCCGAAAGUGUGGGAAGCAAAUAGGAUUAGAUGCCCUAGUAGUCCACGCCGUAAACGAUGAGUACUAAGUGUUGGAUGUCAAAGUUCAGUGCUGCAGUUAACGCAAUAAGUACUCCGCCUGAGUAGUACGUUCGCAAGAAUGAAACUCAAAGGAACUGACGGGG